AUUGAACGCUGGCGGCAGGCUUAACACAUGCAAGUCGAGCGGAGUGAUGGUGCUUGCACUAUCACUUAGCGGCGGACGGGUGAGUAAUGCUUAGGAAUCUGCCUAUUAGUGGGGGACAACAUCUCGAAAGGGAUGCUAAUACCGCAUACGUCCUACGGGAGAAAGCAGGGGAUCACUUGUGACCUUGCGCUAAUAGAUGAGCCUAAGUCGGAUUAGCUAGUUGGUGGGGUAAAGGCCUACCAAGGCGACGAUCUGUAGCGGGUCUGAGAGGAUGAUCCGCCACACUGGGACUGAGACACGGCCCAGACUCCUACGGGAGGCAGCAGUGGGGAAUAUUGGACAAUGGGGGGAACCCUGAUCCAGCCAUGCCGCGUGUGUGAAGAAGGCCUUAUGGUUGUAAAGCACUUUAAGCGAGGAGGGGGCUACUUUAGUUAAUACCUAGAGAUAGUGGACGUUACUCGCAGAAUAAGCACCGGCUAACUCUGUGCCAGCCGCCGCCGUAAUAC
rnacentral:rRNA from 1 species